ensembl:ncRNA W05H5.9 ncRNA
GUUCACCACCUGCAAUUGUUGUCCAUCGCCGGAGAAGCCCGAUGCGACGGAGCCCAUCAUCUCGACUACGGUAGCCAGAAUGAAGGCCUGGGUUACUGUAAGUAUGCCGGUUCCAACUGAGGUUCCGAAGGAGUCGGCUAUGUCGUUGGCGCCCAUACCGACGCCGAGGAUCAGGCAGACUCCGAAUAUUAGGGACCAUUGUACCACUUCCUG